rnacentral:rRNA from 1 species
UACGUAGGGUGCAAGCGUUAUCCGGAAUUAUUGGGCGUAAAGAGCUCGUAGGCGGUUUGUCACGUCUGCUGUGAAAACUGGAGGCUCAACCUCCAGCCUGCAGUGGGUACGGGCAGACUAGAGUGCGGUAGGGGAGAUUGGAAUUCCUGGUGUAGCAGUGGAAUGCGCAGAUAUCAGGAGGAACACCGAUGGCGAAGGCAGAUCUCUGGGCCGUAACUGACGCUGAGGAGCGAAAGCAUGGGGAGCGAACAGG